CUCCCGUCUCAUUUGUUUUUCAUUAGUUUCUGUCAUCCCCACAACGAGGUCUCUUGAAACUAAAUGUGUAAUUGGAGCUGCAAGACAUGAAAAUGGACAGUUUCUGCCUCUCCCUCCCCCCAAUAGUGACUCUCUUCACUGACAGCCAUUUAAAUCCAUAUCCCUCACUGUGAUUCUUGAUUUGGCUCCCAAUUCAAUUCCUUGGUUCCUCCAGAGGACCCCAAUGAUGACCCACUUCUCAGAUUAGAACCAAGUUCCUUCCUUUCAGCAGGACUUUUUAGGGUGGGUUUGUUCAGGCUAGUUUCCAACUUUUGACAAAAUUCUGCCCGAUCUCCUGUGGCAAACCACAGGUAGGGCCUGAUGUAAGAAGAGAUGACACUCCCUACAAGUCCCCUUCCUACAUUAACAACUCUAACAUCUUCCCUAAAACCUAUCCUCCACUGAUUUACUCUUUCUUCUCUCCCUCUCUAGCCAUCUCUUCAGCUUGGCAGACUUGCUUCUCCACUAUAUAAAAAAUGAUGCCCUAGUGUAGGGAUAUUUGACCUGGGGUUAAGGACCCCCCAAGGGGUUUAUGAAUAGACUUCAGAGGGUCCAUUAACUUGAACAGGAAGAUUACAUCUUCAUUUUCACUAACUUCAAACUGAAAUUUAGCAUUUCCUUCAGUUAUUUAAAAAUAUUGUUCUUUUCAGAUCCAGAGCCUUCCAAAAGGAUCCAUGACCCCAAAAAAGGAUAUUGUGUGAAUACCCAUCUCACCCCAUCUCCUUCAAUCCUGGAACCUUGAAUCAUAAUAAAAUCAACUCUGACAA